rnacentral:rRNA from 1 species
ACGCGUUAAAUCGACCGCCUGGGGAGUACGGCCGCAAGGUUAAAACUCAAAUGAAUUGACGGGGGCCCGCACAAGCGGUGGAGCAUGUGGUUUAAUUCGAUGCAACGCGAAGAACCUUACCUGGUCUUGACAUCCACAGAACUUAGCAGAGAUGCUUUGGUGCCUUCGGGAACUGUGAGACAGGUGCUGCAUGGCUGUCGUCAGCUCGUGUUGUGAAAUGUUGGGUUAAGUCCCGCAACGAGCGCAACCCUUAUCCUUUGUUGCCAGCGGUUAGGCCGGGAACUCAAAGGAGACUGCCAG